AGUGAACGCUGGCGGUAGGCCUAACACAUGCAAGUCGAACGGCAGCACAGUAAGAGCUUGCUCUUACGGGUGGCGAGUGGCGGACGGGUGGGGAAUACAUCGGAAUCUACUUUUUCGUGGGGGAUAACGUAGGGAAACUUACGCUAAUACCGCAUACGACCUACGGGUGAAAGCAGGGGAUCUUCGGACCUUGCGCGAUUGAAUGAGCCGAUGUCGGAUUAGCUAGUUGGCGGGGUAAAGGCCCACCAAGGCGACGAUCCGUAGCUGGUCUGAGAGGAUGAUCAGCCACACUGGAACUGAGACACGGUCCAGACUCCUACGGGAGGCAGCAGUGGGGAAUGUUGGACAAUGGGCGCAAGCCUGAUCCAGCCAUACCGCGUGGGUGAAGAAGGCCUUCGGGUUGUAAAGCCCUUUUGUUGGGAAAGAAAAGCAGCAGGUUAAUACCCCGCUGUUCUGACGGUACCCAAAGAAUAAGCACCGGCUAACUUCGUG
rnacentral:rRNA from 1 species